GAUGAACGCUGGCGGCGUGCCUAAUACAUGCAAGUCGAGCGAACGGACGAGAAGCUUGCUUCUCUGAUGUUAGCGGCGGGCGGGUGAGUAACACGUGGAUAACCUAUCUAUAAGACUGGGAUAACUUCGGGAAACCGGAGCUAAUACCGGAUAAUAUUUUGAACCGCAUGGUUCAAAAGUGAAAGACGGUCUUGCUGUCACUUAUAGAUGGAUCCGCGCUGCAUUAGCUAGUUGGUAAGGUAACGGCUUACCAAGGCAACGAUGCAUAGCCGACCUGAGAGGGUGAUCGGCCACACUGGAACUGAGACACGGUCCAGACUCCUACGGGAGGCAGCAGUAGGGAAUCUUCCGCAAUGGGCGAAAGCCUGACGGAGCAACGCCGCGUGAGUGAUGAAGGUCUUCGGGUCGUAAAACUCUGUUAUUAGGGAAGAACAUAUGUGUAAGUAACUGUGCACAUCUUGACGGUACCUAAUCAGAAAGCCACGGCUAACUACGUG
rnacentral:rRNA from 1 species